CAAAAGUUUAAACCACGAAGUGCUCAUUCUCUAACUGACGCAGGCACUCACGUAUAGCAGCAUCUCUCAACCCACUUCUCGUAACUUCCGUUAUAAAACCCUAAAAACAAUCUUUUCUUCCUCUUUUCCUUCACCUUCGUUAUUAUUCCAUUUUUACAAAACCCUAUUUUCUCUUCCCUCUAAAAUCUCAACUCGUUUACCUUUUCAAUUAGCUUCUAUUAUUCGAUUGAAAAAUGGAAGCUAAUGGUUUUGACGAUGUUAAGAUUCCUCUGUUACAGUUACCAGAAGAAGAAAACGUUGCCGUUAGAACCGUUGCGUUACAAAUAAGCGACAUCGAGUGCGCUUCCUGUGUUAAUUCUAUUGAAUCCGCUGUUAGGAAUCUAAACGGCGUUAAAAGUAUAGCUGUUUCGUCAAUUGAUGGCCGAGCCGUCGUCAAAUUUGUUCCCAAACUCAUAACUGCAAGACGAAUAAAAGAAAGCAUAGAAGAGAGUGGAUUUAAGGUUAAUGAGGUUCAUGAUCAUGACCAAGAUAUAUCAGUGUGCCGAAUCAGGAUUAAAGGAAUGGCAUGCACAAGUUGCUCUGAGUCUGUUGAGAGAACACUUCAAAUGAUUGAUGGAGUGAAAAGGGCAAUAGUUGGUCUAGCUUUAGAGGAGGCAAAAGUGCAUUAUGAUCCUAGCCUUGCCGAUCCCGAAAAGAUAAUUGAAGCUAUAGAAGAUGCGGGCUUUGGAGCAGAACUUAUUAGCUCUGGGAAUGACGCGAAUAAAGUUCAUCUAAAAGUUGAAGGGAUUGAUUCUGAAGAAGAUGCUAAUGUGUUAGUGUCUUCUCUUGAAUUAGCUGGAGGUGUGAAUCGUGUUGAAAUGGAUUUUUCAGAUUAUAUAGUUACCGUUAGCUAUGAUCCGGACAUUACAGGUCCGAGAACUCUAAUUCAUUGUGUUCAGGAAGCUAGCCGUGGCUCCAAGAUGUACCAAGCAACCUUGUAUUCUCCUUCAGGACAAAGAGAAAGGGAUAAGGUGAAUGAAAUUCGCACGUAUAGGGAUCAGUUUUUGUUCAGCUGCUUGUUUUCUGUACCUGUGUUUGUGUUUGCUAUGGUGCUUCCCAUGCUUCCUCCAUAUGGCAACUGGUUGAACUAUAAGAUCCAUAAUAUGCUUACUCUUGGGUUGUUUUUAAGAUGGAUCCUUUGCACGCCUGUGCAGUUCAUAGUUGGAAAAAGGUUCUAUGUGGGAUCAUAUCAUGCACUGAGGAGAAGAUCUGCUAACAUGGAUGUGCUGGUUGCGUUAGGCACUAAUGCUGCUUAUUUUUACUCGUUAUAUAUUGUAAUAAAAGCACUGACUUCAGAUACAUUUGAAGGACAAGAUUUCUUUGAGACCAGUUCCAUGUUGAUAUCCUUUAUCCUAUUAGGAAAAUAUUUGGAGAUUGUGGCCAAAGGGAAAACAUCAGAUGCUUUAGGAAAGCUGACACAACUUGUUCCAGAUAAAGCAUAUUUAGUGGAAAUUGAUACUGAUGCAAAUAUCAUCACAGAGACAGAAAUUGACACUCAACUUAUACAAAAGAAUGACAUAAUUAAGAUUGUGCCUGGGGCUAAAAUUCCCAUUGAUGGUAUUGUUAUAAAAGGGCAAAGCUAUGCAAAUGAAAGUAUGAUCACUGGAGAGGCAAGACCCAUUGCCAAAAGUCCAGGAGACAAGGUUAUCAGUGGAACGAUCAAUGAGAAUGGCUGCUUGUUGGUUAAGGCUACACAUGUUGGAUCAGACACUGCCCUUUCUCAGAUUGUUCAAAUUGUAGAAGCUGCUCAACUUGCCAAAGCACCAGUUCAAAAACUUGCAGACCAUAUUUCAAGGGUUUUUGUUCCAAUAGUGGUUGUUGCAGCAUUCAUAACUUGGUUGGGGUGGUUCAUUCCUGGAGAAACUGGUUUUUACCCUAAACACUGGAUACCAAAAGGAAUGGAUGCAUUUGAGCUUGCUUUGCAGUUUGCUAUUUCUGUGUUAGUUGUUGCUUGUCCUUGUGCUCUGGGACUAGCUACACCAACUGCAGUCAUGGUUGCAUCAGGCAUAGGCGCUUCCCAAGGAGUGCUUAUCAAGGGUGGGGAUGCACUAGAGAAGGCACACAAGGUAAAAACUAUUGUAUUUGAUAAGACUGGGACACUAACAAUUGGGAAGCCAACGGUAGUUAGUGCAGUGCUGUUUUCUGGAUUUUCUAUGGAGGUGUUAUGUGACAUGGCAAUUUCUAUCGAGGCAAGUAGCGAGCACCCGUUAGCUAAAGCUGUUGUGGCACACGCAAAGAAGCUGCGCAAAAAUUUCGGUUCUUGCACUGAGGAAGUGCCCGAUGUUGUUGAUUUUGAAGUACACAUGGGAGCCGGGGUAAGUGGAAAAGUUGGUGAUAGAACAGUUUUAGUUGGAAACAGGAGGCUCAUGCAUGCUUGUAACGUUCAAAUAUCUUCCGAGGCUGAGAAGUACAUCUCUGAAAAUGAGAUUCUGGCUAGAACUUGUGUUUUAGUUUCAAUUGAUGGAAAGAUUGCUGGAGCAUUCUCUGUGACUGAUCCUGUAAAGCCAGAGGCUAAACGUGUUAUAUCAUUUCUCCACUCCAUGGGCAUCACAAGUGUCAUCGUGACUGGGGAUAACCAUGCUACUGCAAUUGCUAUUGCAAAUGAAGUUGGUAUUGAUAUGGUCUUUGCUGAGACGGAUCCAGUAGGCAAAGCUGAUAAGGUGAAAGAAUUACAGAUGAAGGGAAUGACUGUGGCAAUGGUAGGUGAUGGAAUAAACGACUCUCCGGCUUUGGUUGCUGCUGAUGUUGGCAUGGCAAUUGGUGCUGGAACUGACGUAGCUAUAGAAGCAGCUGAUAUAGUUCUUGUAAAAAGCAACUUGGAAGAUGUAAUUACAGCCAUAGAUCUAUCUAGAAAGACCAUGUCUCGUAUCAGGCUGAACUACAUUUGGGCUCUUGGCUACAACAUUUUGGGCAUGCCAGUUGCUGCUGGUGUUUUGUACCCAUUUACUGGAAUCAGAUUGCCACCAUGGCUUGCUGGUGCUUGCAUGGCUGCAUCUUCCCUUAGUGUGGUUUCUUCGUCUCUUUUGCUGCAGUUCUAUAAAAAACCUUUGCAUGUAGAAUCCAUUAAAUAGCCUAUUUUUGCCUUUUAGUUCGACUUGACAAUCCACAUAUUGGUCAUUUUAUAAGGAAUUGUCCUCCAGCCGUUAUCAAUAAGUUCAUUAUCAUUUUUCUGCAGUUUACAAAAUAAGCAAUGAGCCUAUAAAGUUGGAAAAUUAUCAGUUAUGCAUUACGCUGACAAGAGGAAAUGUUUAGUGGUCUGUGUUGGAUUGGAUUUUAUUCUUCUUUUAUAUGCAGAAACAAAGAGUAUGGAGCAUAGUCAUAGACCCUGCUCAUUUUUUCAAUCAAAGAGUAGCUGCCAUGAGAAUGUUAGGACCUUACGGGGAACCAAACGAUUUUGAUAUUUUGGUAAACUCAAAAUGGAACUGAAAAUUUCAUUUUUAGAGACAGCUUUGCGUUGUUGCGUAUAAAUUGAACUGCAUGAGUCUGUGUUGUUGCAUGUAAAUUGAAUAGUCUAACUUAAUAUAACUUGUGGUACAACUUAAUCUCACCAACA